GUCAGGAUGGCUGAGCAGUGUAAGGCGCUGUGUUCUGGUUACAUUCUCCCCUGGUGGUGUGGUUUCAAAUCCCACUUCUGACA
rfam:Danio rerio chromosome 4, GRCz11 reference primary assembly.